UUUGGUAUCAACUUGAAGGUAUAUUUGUAAGCAAUAAGAAAAUAAGCCAUUUUUGUACUCUACUUUUUGUGUUGAUGGUUCCCGGCUUCGAAAGUAGGUCAUACUAUUUGAGCCCAAAAUGGUUGUCUGCACAGCUGUCAAAACCGGUUUGCCUAUUCUAAGGUAAAUAUUUUGAGUUUGCGCGUAUAGAAUUUAAUGACAUGCAUUUUUUUUCAAAAGAUUAUGCAUUAAUCUUUCCAAUGAUGUAUGAUGAUAUAGUGGGUAUGCGCUUGAUCAUGGUAAAAAUUGAUAUCGAACUUCAACUAUUUUAUAUGUAAUAUAGAAGGAAAUUAAUUGCGCAUGCGUAACCUUUAAGCACAUCCGACCAAGUUAGUCGUCUGCCAGAAUUUUGACAUUUGACCAUUAAAAACUCUCUGUAUUGCAAAACAUAACUGCCAGAUGUCAUUUUGACCCAAAUAAGGGCUGUUUGCAAUUGGGCUGUUGCACUUGGGGUCAUAAGGGGGGUAAAUGCUGGAAAAUCACACCGAAACCUGUUCCGGAGACAUAUUCUAAGACUACUUAAACACCCGGUAUUGUUUUUCAGUGCCAUUUUGACAUUAAUUUGCAUCAAUCUCAAUAAUGAACCUAAUGCAUGUCUUUAUUUCAUCUGUAUUUAUUAUUAUUGUUUACUUUUUGAGCCUUUUUCUGUUAAAAAUGCCCGCCAAUUUUGGACCUACACUUCUAUCCGCCUUCGCCUUCAACCCAUUCAGGCAGAUCUACUCAGAAUAACACUACUUUGCCUUAUUUUACCUGUUUGGAUAUCUCGCUGAGUUCAAGUAAAAUCAAGUAUUCAGCUGAAAACACAAAAAUGAUAAUAAUAUUAUGCUUUCUUUCCUGGAAGAAUGUUGUUGCGAUAGACCCUGCAUGAAAAACACCAGGGAAUCUGUAUUUAAGUGACCUUAAUAUUAUGCGUAAACCUAAGUGUGCAUUUGUAGGCGGUGUCGAAAUGGGUCUAUAGCUCUGCCUGAACUGUCGUCCAAUUGGUUUACAAGUCCGGCUGAAGUGACAGGCCAUCAAAAACUGUACAGUGUGACUGAUUCGGAGACGGCCCUCAACACUCGCCCAGUCGUGUCGAGAGGAUCGGUGUCUUUGCAGAUUACACGGAAUUGAGCACCCGGGCCAGACUGACACUUUCCGGAGCCUGCCCUAGACGGAACUCGAGCCGAGGAAUCAUAGGUCCAGGCGGUGUCGAAAUGGGUCUAUAGCUCUGCCUGAACUGUCGUCCAAUUGGUUUACAAGUCCGGCUGAAGUGACAGGCCAUCAAAAACUGUACAGUGUGACUGAUUCGGAGACGGCCCUCAACACUCGCCCAGUCGUGUCGAGAGGAUCGGUGUCUUUGCAGAUUACACGGAAUUGAGCACCCGGGCCAGACUGACACUUUCCGGAGCCUGCCCUAGACGGAACUCGAGCCGAGGAAUCAUAGGUCCAGGCGGUGUCGAAAUGGGUCUAUAGCUCUGCCUGAACUGUCGUCCAAUUGGUUUACAAGUCCGGCUGAAGUGACAGGCCAUCAAAAACUGUACAGUGUGACUGAUUCGGAGACGGCCCUCAACACUCGCCCAGUCGUGUCGAGAGGAUCGGUGUCUUUGCAGAUUACACGGAAUUGAGCACCCGGGCCAGACUGACACUUUCCGGAGCCUGCCCUAGACGGAACUCGAGCCGAGGAAUCAUAGGUCCAGGCGGUGUCGAAAUGGGUCUAUAGCUCUGCCUGAACUGUCGUCCAAUUGGUUUACAAGUCCGGCUGAAGUGACAGGCCAUCAAAAACUGUACAGUGUGACUGAUUCGGAGACGGCCCUCAACACUCGCCCAGUCGUGUCGAGAGGAUCGGUGUCUUUGCAGAUUACACGGAAUUGAGCACCCGGCC